rnacentral:lncRNA from 1 species
GCUAUCUUAGUCGCCACAGAAAAGCAAGAUUUAGAGGCGACUAAACUUAAGUCGCAACAAAUAAACACAAUUUUACUCUUUAAUGAUUAGAACAAAAUUUUUAUUCCCGUUUAGAUUAUAUUUUGUGACGACAUUUUUGGAGUUGUCACAAUAGUCUUAUUCUAGCGACUAGGUCGCCUCAGUUCUUCACGCUAAAAUUGAAAAAUUAAUAAAAAGUAAUCAGCCUCACCCUUUAGUUUAUUUCCUAGUGUCUUUUACUUUUUUACCAAAAUAUUCUCUCCUUUCCUAAAACCCUAACUUGAGCCUCCCCAUGGGAAAGAAAAAAUUGAAGCAAGCGACUUCUUUCUCCUGAAACCUUUACUCUGGGAUGCGAACCCCUCGGCCCCUGACCUCUUAUCUCUCUCUCUCUCUUCGAAAAUCCAGAUCUAGAGUUGAAUAUGGAAGAAGAAAUGGUGCAAGCGAUUUGGCUUCAAAAAUUUAAAAAGAACGAUCCGUUCCUUUCCUCUAAAAUUCGUAAGUUGCAGAAGGUUCUUUCCUUUUUGUAUUUCUUGCUUUCUAGUAUUUUAUUUCUCAUUAUUUCAUUAUUUAUACUUGUGUAUACUUGUAAUUCUGAUCUGUGAAGUUAAUUUACUGUUUAUUUGUGUUCUUUAGCUAUCUUGCACUGAUUUGGGUUGAAUCCGACGAACAUAAUGAGGUUUG